GAAAAGCAGUGGCGAACGGAGCGCGCCUGCAGGUUGGGGAGCUGUCAGCGGGAGGCAGAGUCGCACCCUCGCAGCAAGGAAGCAGCAGCAGCAGCCGAGUCAACGGGAGCUGAGAGUGGGAGCGGAGCCGGACAAAGGAGCGGUUUUGCCGGCACAUCCUUUUCACAUUUUCACUCGAGCGGCCGCCGGAUUUUCGGCCAGCCCAAGCUGGGACUGUGGUCCCUCUCCGAUGAGGCGCUGCCUCACCUUGACCAGCACCUUGAGAAUUGUUAUUGAAAGCAGCUCCCUCCGGACAGCGAUCCAUACCAUCAGCGCAAAGAAAUGCAAAGCUUCGAUACCUGUAGGGAUUCAUUCCAGAAGAUUGCAGUAGCAUUCUGCAAAUAGUUCGUCAGUUGCGUUGGUUUCCAAUUUGCAGAAUAUCGAUCGGGGAGUCCGUUCCUUGACCAUGCCACAGGGAAUGGAGAAGUUUCUACAGAUAGCCCCUCACUCCCUGGCUGUGGUGCUGGCUCGGAGCGGCACAGCCAGGGCUGCUGUGGCGGGAACCGAGAACAUUCAGCACCACCACACCGGCUACGAGAUCUUCGCCGACUUUAAAGCCGAGAAUAUGCAGCAUUUCUGGAAUAAGCGAGUGACAGACGCCAUCUCGGAGGCUUUCUUCCUCGGCUGGAUCGACGAGCACGUCCUGCUGAUCCAAGGCAAGGAGUCCCAUUUGGAAGUGCUGAGGGAAGCUUGGAUGAGGAGAUCACUUAAACCUCCCAGGGGAUUCAAUAUAAAGUAUCUGGGUUCAAUCGGUUAUGAAGAUCAUUGUAUAUUCUAUUGAAUACCUCGAAGAAAAUGAUGAAACUUAAAUCCUUAGAAAUUGCCCCACAUAAUAUGUGAUGGUUUUGUUCAUCUUAAGUUUUUAAAACCUGGAUCAUAGCAUUCAGACACUGAUGAGCUGCACAAUAUAGCCACCAAGGGUCACCUAACUCUUGGUCUGUGGACUCAAAAGGACAAAAUGACACAUUCCAGACUGAGAAAUGUCAAUACCCAUAUCCUGAGACCAUCCAAACUGCAUUCCUGACUUGAAUGGGUCGUUCUGAAUCCAGGAAGGUGAUUGUCUCAAACCCUGAGGGUGAAUGUCUGCAAACAAUAAUCUGGGUUACGGCUAAUCUGUGUAGGCCCAACAUCAUGGUUGGAAGGGGGCUGUGAGAAACCAGAUAGUAGGGUAACCGUUUGGUCUCCCUGUUUAUUCCUUAAGUGCUGUCUGCAAAAAGACACAACGACUCAACAACUGCUCAACAGCAGCAGCAGAAUGGGCAGCAACAUCUACGCUUUACGACCUGGAGACUGCAACAUCAUGAGGUCUCCAAGCCUGCUCCUUGUCAAAUCUGCCAACACAGCAAAAUGAUCUCCUGGUAACAAGACUACAAAUAAUUAGCUUUGUGACCUGCAAAAUGUCCAUAUCUUUGAGAGAAUCUUGCAAAGGCUCUGGUGUGCUACUUUGGCUAUUGAAUUCACCUAACUGCACUUCAGGAGUGAAAACCUCUUCUUCACCCGGUUUCCAAGAUGAGCCGAUCACAUGAAUAAUGAACUAUUCUUUUAUUUAUAGCUUGUAAAAUUAUACUUCUCUUUAACUGUAUUUUCCUAGUGUGUGUGGGUGAGUGAGUGAUGUACCAUUAAAUUUUCAGAAUGAAUAUGUGAAUAA